CCCUUGUACACACCGCCCGUCACACCAUGGGAGUUGGCUUUACCCGAAGGUGGUGCGCUAACCCGCAAGGGAGGCAGCCAACCACGGUAGGGUCAGCGACUGGGGUG
rnacentral:rRNA from 1 species